rnacentral:rRNA from 1 species
UACAGAGGUCCCAAGCGUUGUUCGGAAUUACUGGGCGUAAAGAGUGUGUAGGCGGUGUUCCCAGUCUGUUGUGAAAUCUCCCGGCUUAACUGGGAGGGUGCAGCGGAAACUAGAAUGCUAGAGGGUGGGAGAGGUAAGCGGAAUUCCUGGUGUAGCGGUGAAAUGCGUAGAUAUCAGGAGGAACACCUGUGGUGUAGACAGCUUACUGGACCACUUCUGACGCUGAGACACGAAAGCGUGGGUAGCAAACAGG